GAUGAAGAACGUAGUGAAAUGCGAUACUUGGUGUGAAUUGCAGAAUCCCGUGAACCAUCGAGUCUUUGAACGCAAGUUGCGCCCGAAGCCAUUUGGUUGAGGGCACGUCUGCCUAGGCGUCACAUAUCGUUGCCCGAUGCCUAUUGCACUGUGAUAGGAAAUUCUAGGGCGAAAGAUGGCUUCCCGUGAGCGUUGUUGCCUCGCGGUUGGUUGAAAAUUGAGUCCUUGGUAAGGUGUGCCAUGAUAGAUGGUGGUCGAGUUUGCACGAGACCGAUCAUGUGUGCGCUCCCCAAAAUAUGGACUCUUUGACCCCACACGCGUCUUUUGACGCUCAUGACGAGACCUCAGGUCAGGCGGGGCUACCCGCUGAGUUUAAGCAUAUCAAUAAGCGGAGGA
rnacentral:misc_RNA from 1 species